ACGGCUCAGUAACACGUAGUCAACAUGCCCAGGGGACGUGGAUAACCUCGGGAAACUGAGGAUAAACCGCGAUAAGUCACUACUUCUGGAAUGGGUAAUGACUCAAAUCUAUAUGGCCCCUGGAUUGGACUGCGGCCGAUCAGGCUGUUGGUGAGGUAAUGGCCCACCAAACCUGUAACCGGCACGGGCUCUGAGAGGAGGAGCCCGGAGAUGGGCACUGAGACAAGGGCCCAGGCCCUAUGGGGCGCAGCAGGCGCGAAACCUCUGCAAUAGGCGAAAGCUUGACAGGGUUACUCUGAGUGAUUUCCGUUAAGGAAAUCUUUUGGCACCUCUAAAAAUGGUGCAGAAUAAGGGGUGGGCAAGUCUGGUGUCAGCCGCCGCGGUAAUACCAGCACCCCGAGUGGUCGGGACGUUUAUUGGGCCUAAAGCAUCCGUAGCCGGUUCUACAAGUCUUCCGUUAAAUCCAACUGCUUAACAGGUGGGCUGCGGAAGAUACUAUAGAGCUAGGAGGCGGGAGAGGCAAGCGGUACUCGAUGGGUAGGGGUAAAAUCCGUUGAUCCAUUGAAGACCACCAGUGGCGAAGGCGGCUUGCCAGAACGCGCUCGACGGUGAGGGAUGAAAGCUGGGGGAGCAAACCGGAUUAGAUACCCGGGUAGUCCCAGCUGUAAACGAUGCAGACUCGGUGAUGAGUUGGCUAUAUGCCAACUCAGUGCCGCAGGGAAGCCGUUAAGUUUGCCGCCUGGGGAGUACGGUCGCAAGACUGAAACUUAAAGGAAUUGGCGGGGGAGCAC
rnacentral:rRNA from 1 species